rnacentral:rRNA from 1 species
UACAGAGGUGGCAAGCGUUGUUCGGAAUUACUGGGCGUAAAGGGCGCGUAGGCGGCCAUCUAAGUCAGACGUGAAAUCCCCCGGCUUAACCUGGGAACUGCGUCUGAUACUGGACGGCUGGAGUUUGGGAGAGGGAUGUAGAAUUCCAGGUGUAGCGGUGAAAUGCGUAGAUAUCUGGAAGAACACCUAUGGCGAAAGCAGCUCUCUGGGACGGUACUGACGCUGAGACGCGAAAGCGUGGGGAGCGAACAGG